CUCUGGGAAGCUUUUGCGGUAUGGGAUGGGGUCGCGUCCUAUCAGCUUGAUGGCGGGGUAACGGCCCACCAUGGCUUCGACGGGUAGCCGGCCUGAGAGGGCGACCGGCCACAUUGGGACUGAGAUACGGCCCAGACUCCUACGGGAGGCAGCAGUGGGGAAUAUUGCACAAUGGGCGCAAGCCUGAUGCAGCGACGCCGCGUGCGGGAUGACGGCCUUCGGGUUGUAAACCGCUUUUGACUGGGAGCAAGCCCUUCGGGGUGAGUGUACCUUUCGAAUAAGCACCGGCUAACUACGUGCCAGCAGCCGCGGUAAUACGUAGGGUGCAAGCGUUAUCCGGAAUUAUUGGGCGUAAAGGGCUCGUAGGCGGUUCGUCGCGUCCGGUGUGAAAGUCCAUCGCUUAACGGUGGAUCCGCGCCGGGUACGGGCGGGCUUGAGUGCGGUAGGGGAGACUGGAAUUCCCGGUGUAACGGUGG
rnacentral:rRNA from 1 species